UACGGAGGGAGCUAGCGUUGUUCGGAUAUACUGGGCGUAAAGCGCACGUAGGCGGCGCAGCAAGUCAGGGGUGAAAUCCCGGAGCUCAACUCCGGAACUGCCUUUGAAACUGCAGUGCUAGAAUCCUGGAGAGGCGAGUGGAAUUCCGAGUGUAGAGGUGAAAUUCGUAGAUAUUCGGAAGAACACCAGUGGCGAAGGCGGCUCACUGGCCCGUUACCGACGCUCAGGCGCGACAGCGUGGGGAGCAAACAGG
rnacentral:rRNA from 1 species